rnacentral:rRNA from 1 species
AUGCACUUUCUUCCCCCUCUUCCACUCUUCUUCCUCCUCUCUUCUUCUUCCUCCUCUCUUCUUCUUCCUCCUCUCUUCCCCAUCGUCGGCCGCACACCAUUUCCCCCCGCUCACUGCUCGCCCGCCCGCGCUAUCUUCCUUCGUAGCUCGCACUACCAUAUAACUGGAAUUAACCGAUGCAAGUCGAAGAAGGAUUGGCCGGUGCUGCCGGCUAGCUUCAAGUUCGAUCCCACGGAUCAGGAGCUGAUCGAGCACCUUGAGGCCAAAGUGAGUGCUGACAGCGCGAGAUCUCACCCUCUCGUCGAUUUGUUCAUACCAACCAUCGACAGGGAGCAAGGCAUAUGCUACACCCAUCCUGAGAAACAUCCAGGUAUCACACUGAGUGGCCAAAGCAAGCAUUUCUUCCAGUGCAAUUCCAGGGCGUUCAAAAGGGGCACGUGGAUGCGUCACAAGAUACAGUCAGAGUGCGGCAUGCAUGCGAUGUGGCACAACACCGGCAAUACCUUGCCGGUUAUGGUCAACGGCCGGCAGACGGGCAGCGAAAAGGUUCUGGUGCUGCACACCAACAAGAACUUCGACCAGCAGAGGACCAACUGGGUGAUGCACCAGUACCACCUCGGGGACCUGGAGCAAGAGAAGGAGCGGGAGCUGGUCCUCUGCAAGAUUUUCUACCAGACAAACACUAGGGCCAGGAGUAAAAAGAUUAUAAGUUAG